rnacentral:rRNA from 1 species
UGGGGAAUAUUGCACAAUGGGCGAAAGCCUGAUGCAGCGACGCCGCGUGAGGGAUGACGGCCUUCGGGUUGUAAACCUCUUUCAGUAGGGACGAAGCGCAAGUGACGGUACCUGCAGAAGAAGCACCGGCUAACUACGUGCCAGCAGCCGCGGUAAUACGUAGGGUGCGAGCGUUGUCCGGAAUUACUGGGCGUAAAGAGCUCGUAGGCGGUUUGUCACGUCGUCUGUGAAAUCCUAGGGCUUAACCCUGGACGUGCAGGCGAUACGGGCUGACUUGAGUACUACAGGGGAGACUGGAAUUUCUGGUGUAGCGGUGGAAUGCAUAGAUAUCAGGAAGAACACCGAUGGCGAAGGCAGGUCUCUGGGUAGUAACUGACGCUGAGGAGCGAAAGCAUGGGUAGCGAACAGG